rnacentral:rRNA from 1 species
UACGUAGGGGGCGAGCGUUGUCCGGAUUCAUUGGGCGUAAAGCGCGCGUAGGCGGCUCGACAAGUCGGCCGUGAAAUCUCCAGGCUCAACUUGGAGGGGUCGGGCGAGACUGUCGGGCUCGAGGUGGGCAGAGGGCAGUGGAAUUCCGGGUGUAGUGGUGGAAUGCGUAGAGAUCCGGAGGAACACCAGUGGCGAAGGCGGCUGCCUGGGCCUGGCCUGACGCUGAGGCGCGAAAGCCAGGGGAGCGAACGGG